GAUGAAGAACGUAGCGAAAUGCGAUAAGUAAUGUGAAUUGCAGAAUUCAGUGAAUCAUCGAAUCUUUGAACGCACCUUGCGCUACUUGGUAUUCCGAGGAGCAUGCCUGUUUGAGUGUCAUUAAUAUAUCAACCUUCUCUUUUUUGAGUUGUUUGGAUGUGGGGGUUUGCUGGCCUCUUAAAUGAUUCAGCUCCCCUGAAAUGCAUUAGCAGAACAACCUGUUCAUUGGCGUGAUAAUUAUCUAUGCUAUUGAAUGUGAGGGCAGUUCAGCUUUCUAACCGUCCUUGGACAAUUCAUCAUUAAUGUGACCUCAAAUCAGGUAGGACUACCCGCUGAACUUAAGCAUAUCAAUAAGCGGAGGA
rnacentral:misc_RNA from 1 species